GUUGUGGCUCAGUGGAAGAGCACUCGCCUAGCAAAUGUGAGGUGCUAGGUUCAAUCCUCAGCACACA
rnacentral:tRNA from 1 species